UACGGAAGGGGCAAGCGUUGUUCGGAAUCACUGGGCGUAAAGGGUGCGUAGGCGGGUCUUUAAGUCAGGGGUGAAAUCCUGGAGCUCAACUCCAGAACUGCCUUUGAUACUGAAGAUCUUGAGUUCGGGAGAGGUGAGUGGAACUGCGAGUGUAGAGGUGAAAUGCGCAGAUAGUCAGGAAGAACACCCGUGGCGAAGGCGGUUCGUCUGGGACGGUAGCUGACGCUGAGACGCGAAAGCGUGGGGAGCGAACAGG
rnacentral:rRNA from 1 species